rnacentral:rRNA from 1 species
GACGAACGCUGGCGGCGUGCUUAACACAUGCAAGUCGAACGGAAAGGCCCUGCUUUUGUGGGGUGCUCGAGUGGCGAACGGGUGAGUAACACGUGAGUAACCUGCCCUUGACUUUGGGAUAACUUCAGGAAACUGGGGCUAAUACCGGAUAGGAGCUCCUGCUGCAUGGUGUUGUUUGGAACGUUUCGGCGGUGGGGGAUGGUCGCGCGGCUUAUCAGCUUGUUGGUGGGGUAGUGGUUUACCAAGGCUUUGACGGGUAGCCGGCCUGAGAGGGUGAGCGGACAUAGUGGGAGUGAGAUAGGGCACAGACUCAUACGGGAGGCAGCAGGGGGGAAUAGUGCACAAUGGGCGGAAGCCUGAUGCAGCAACGCCGUGUGCGGGAAGACGGCCUUCGGGUUGUAAACCGUUUGCGCCUGAGACGAAGUGUGAGUGACGGUAACGGGUAAAGAAGCACCGGCUAACUACGUG